rnacentral:rRNA from 1 species
GACGAACGCUGGCGGCGUGCCUAAUACAUGCAAGUAGAACGCUGAAGGAGGAGCUUGCUUCUCUGGAUGAGUUGCGAACGGGUGAGUAACGCGUAGGUAACCUGCCUGGUAGCGGGGGAUAACUAUUGGAAACGAUAGCUAAUACCGCAUAAGAGUAGAUGUUGCAUGACAUUUGCUUAAAAGGUGCAAUUGCAUCACUACCAGAUGGCCCUGCGUUGUAUUAGCUAGUUGGUGGGGUAACGGCUUACCAAGGCGACGAUACAUAGCCGACCUGAGAGGGUGAUCGGCCAAACUUGGAACGAGACACGGCCCAGACUCCUACGGGAGGCAGCAGGAGGGAAUCUUCGGCAAUGGACGGAAGUCUGACCGAGCAACGCCGCGGGAGUGAAGAAGGGUUUCGGAUCGGAAAGCUCUGUUGUAAGAGAAGAACGAGUGUGAGAGUGGAAAGUUCACACUGUGACGGUAUCUUACCAGAAAGGGACGGCUAACUACGUG